rnacentral:rRNA from 1 species
UACGAAGGGGGCUAGCGUUGCUCGGAAUUACUGGGCGUAAAGUGUGCGCAGGUGGCCGCGCAAGUCGAGUGUGAAAUCCCCGAGCUUAACUUGGGAAUUGCGCUCGAAACUACGUGGCUCGAGUGUGGCAGAGGAAGGUGGAAUUCCGAGUGUAGAGGUGAAAUUCGUAGAUAUUCGGAGGAACACCAGUGGCGAAGGCGGCUCACUGGUCCAUUACUGACGCUGAGGUGCGAAAGCGUGGGGAGCAAACAGG